rnacentral:piRNA from 1 species
UGAACUAUGAUCCCCUACCUCACAGCA